rnacentral:sRNA from 1 species
AAGUAAAAAACUUACAGCAAUAAUUUUACAGCAAUAAUUUUACAGCAAGAAAAGUUACAGCUACAGCCAACACAGCUACAACAAAAUCUCCACAGCAAAAAAUCUAGAGUUACACCCCAACCAAUCAUCCACUUAGAUAACAUCGUAUUUUAGCUCAAUUUUACUAUGUUUUU